rnacentral:rRNA from 1 species
AUGAACGCUAGCGACAGGCCUAACACAUGCAAGUCGAGGGGCAUCGGGGUAUAGCAAUACGCUGCCGGCGACCGGCGGAUGGGUGAGUAACGCGUAUGCAACCUGCCUUCAGCAGGGGGAUAGCCCGUUGAAAGACGGAUUAAUACCCCGUAACACAGGGGCUCCGCAUGGAGAUUAUUGUUAAAGGGAUGCUUCCUUCGGGGAGUAUUCCGGCUGAAGAUGGGCAUGCGUUCCAUUAGGUAGUUGGUUGAGGUAACGGCUCACCAAGCCUGCGAUGGAUAGGGGAACUGAGAGGUUGGUCCCCCACACUGGUACUGAGACACGGACCAGACUCCUACGGGAGGCAGCAGUGAGGAAUCUUGGUCAAUGGACGGAAGUCUGAACCAGCCAUGUCGCGUGAAGGAGGACGGCCCUAAGGGUUGUAAACUUCUUUUGCAGGGGAAUAAAGUAUUCCACGAGAUGGGAUAUUGCAAGUACGCUGCGAAUAAGGAUCGGCUAACUCCGUG